UACGUAGGGUGCGAGCGUUAAUCGGAAUUACUGGGCGUAAAGUGUGCGCAGGCGGCCGAGCAAGUCGAGUGUGAAAGCCCCGAGCUUAACUUGGGAACUGCGCUCGAAACUACUUGGCUAGAGUGUGGCAGAGGGAGGUUGAAUUCCACGUGUAGCGGUGAAAUGCGUAGAGAUGUGGAGGAACACCGAUGGCGAAGGCAGCCUCCUGGGCCAACACUGACGCUCAUGCACGAAAGCGUGGGGAGCAAACAGG
rnacentral:rRNA from 1 species